UCGAGAAUCUUUCGCAAUGGGCGCAAGCCUGACGGAGCGACGCCGCGUGCGGGAUGAAGGCCUUCGGGUUGUAAACCGCUGUCAGUGGGGAGCAAAUCUCUGGGAGCAAUCUUUCAGAGUUGAGCGAUCCGCAGAGGAAGCGCAGGCUAAGUUCGUGCCAGCAGCCGCGGUAACACGAACUGCGCAAACGUUAUUCGGAAUCACUGGGCUUAAAGAGUCCGUAGGCGGCUCGGCAGGUGAGGUGUGAAAUCCCACGGCUCAACCGUGGAACUGCGCUUCAAAGCGUCGGGCUAGAGGGAGAUAGAGGAGAGCGGAACUGAUGGUGGGGCGGUGAAAUGCGUUGAUAUCAUCAGGAACACCGGUGGCGAAAGCGGCUCUCUGGGUCUCUUCUGACGCUGGGGGACGAAAGCUAGGGGAGCGAACGGGAUUAGAUACCCCCGUAGUCC
rnacentral:rRNA from 1 species